rnacentral:misc_RNA from 1 species
UCAAAAGAAAUAACUGUUGUGCACAAACCUCUGAUAACUGUCUCUUGGCCCUGACUCAGUGUUUCCUUCCCCUUCCCUGAGUCUUUGCUAACUGAAACACACAAUUUGAAGUGUUUCAGUACCAAAUUAAACUGUCUCUAUCGAUGGUGUUUGGUAAAUAAUGCACUGAACUCAAUUAUUCACUUAAUCACCUAAUAUACCGACCCUCGUUGCGUUUUAGGUAAAUUAGGUUUUAGUGUCGUUAAUAUGUCACAUUCGAUAGGGUUUUAGGUUUGGUAUGUUUUACCAAAGUCAUUUCCUUGCUUAGUGCAUUUUAAUGCAAAUUGCUGGAUUCCGGGACACUGGUUUGACCUAGCCGGACGGUCUAGUUCCCUCGGUUUUCGGGUCUCGGUCGAAACUACAAACUUGUAGAUCUAGGUCUUAUUGCACGCGGUGCAAAAUUUCAGGUCAAUCCGAGUUAAGUAGACCAAGUUAUGGUCAUUACACUCUUGCUGGUCAAAUGGUACCAUUUUAGGUCAAUUUUAGGUCAAAUUGGUCAAUUCUGGUUCGGCCAGUUUUUGGACCCG